rnacentral:lncRNA from 1 species
AGAAAAGUCAUAGAUACCAUAUUAUUCCAUUUCAAUUUACAAAUUGGUUUUGCAUAAAACAUUUGCAUCAAAGUCAUGGUUAUGAUCAUGGUAGAGAGGGAAUUCCGUUCGAGUUCGCUGAUCGAAGUCAUUUGGAGUGCUCCUAUGACUCAACGUGGUCAUUUGUAUCUUGGGAGAUGAUUACCGGAUAACCGUUAGCACCGAUGCGAGGCAAAUUCAUCUUAAGGACAAAGUGUCCAACACUUGCCUCGACCAAAAAUCCGUCAUUUGCAUCUUUUUUUUUUUCAUUUUCUGAUUCCUUUUAUUAUAAUUUGAUUUCAGAAAAUGAUUAACAUUAUUUAUAUGUUUAUCCUGCAAGGUUUGAUCCAAAGAAUUACUUGUUUUCGAUCAUGAGUUGAAAGGGAAGAAUCCAUAUUCAAGUAUUCGGAUUCAAUAAAUUCUUAUUUUGUCUUCUUAAAUCCAAGUUGGAAUACGUUUCGAUUUCAUGCAAAUAAACGAUAUGUUUAUUGUGAAUAAAAUAUGCACAAUUAUCAGUGUAAUUUUCCAACAAUCUUAAGAUGAAUUUUAAGUGGUUUUAUUGUGCAUUUAUAUUCUUAAUUUCGACAAAUAUAUCACGUGCAUUUUCUGCAAAUUGUUUUGCAUGGAAAUAGUUCAUUUGAAGUGGAAACUGUGUGUCAGUAUGCACGUGUAAAUUGUUAUUAUGCUUCUAUGAGAAUUGGCACUUAAGUGGAGAGUCAGAAUCCAUGUUUGUGCAUAAUUGUUACAAUUAACAUUGGUUAAUGAAAAUUGGAACAAAGGCAUGAAUUGAUCCUAUUGGUUAUUGAACAAGUGCAUGCGGCAAUUCCAUUAAAUAACUUUUAAUGUUAUGCGCAAUUUAAAAUGCAAUUAUGGUGGCCAAGAAUAUACAAUUAAAUGCAUACGUUUCAGUAAUUUGAAAACGUGACCCAUCAAAAUUUAAGGCAGAAAAUAAUAACAUCAUUUGGUUCAUUCGGUGCCUUUUCAAUUCAUUGAUAGUCACUUUUAUGUUGAAUUGGCAUGCACAAUAUUGGAUGAAAUAAUAUGGUUGAAUGGGUGUUUUAUUCUUCUUUGAAAGGUUGGGCUUUCAAUUAAUACCAUUCCAAUUAACUGUGGAUGUGAACCAUACAAAUAUGAUAUUCUUUAUUUGUCUAUUAUUGCAUGAGAAAAUGCCAGAAUUCAGUUAUAAAAUCUAUUCACGUGUUCCGGUAGUACACUGCCUUAUAUAUUCUGUUUAUCUAAAAUCAGAAUAAAUUACAUAAACGUGACAUGUUAUAAGGACUGCCUUAACUGUCAAUGAAAUUAAAAGAACUCUUCCUUCUUCCAUGAUGAGAUAGGCACAAACUGAUGUUUUACAUCCUAAAACCAUAACAUGCAUCCAAUAAUUUGUUGAAAAUCGGGAUUGAGUAUUGCGUAGAUAAUGAAUCCCUUACAUGGUAAAUUGAUGAUAAUCAAUGAAAAGCUACCUGCCUAAUAAAGAAUUGGUUUAUGUUGAAUGGUGCACAUGAAUGAGAGGAAGAGGUGUGUUCCUUUGGCAGGAAAUAUUGAAUUAGAUCUGAUUAUUAUUUUUUGGAUAAGGGAUCUGAUCAUUAUUUCUUGUAAUGGAAAAAAAAUUACAUGGAUCAGUGAGUAUAUCUUUAACUGUUUAAAUUAAUUGAUAGUUAAGGUUAAUUAUAGUUUUGAAUGAAAGUGCACACCCUUUCAUUUUGGUAAGUUACGAGAGUUAGCGGAAUAUAAAGAAGAAAAUCGUUUUGCUUCGAUCCAUGGCUAUGAAAGGGCAUGAAUUUGGUGACUUUUCAUUCUAGUAUGAAUUGUCUGAAUUUUCUAUUUACUGAUAACACCUGAAAUUUCAUGGGAUUUAAAUGCACGAUUAAAUUCUGCAUAAAAAUAUUAUUUCAUAAGAUUGUGCAUGAAAUGAUGUGAAAUGACAUAUACGAUAAGCUGGCAAGCUGCCAAAUACGGUAAGCUGUCAUAUAUGGUAGGCUGUCAAAUACGAUAAGUUGGUGAGCUACCAAAUACAGUAAGUUGCUGAAUACAGUAAGUCGUAUAUAUGGUAAGCGACAUAUACGAUAAGUUGCAUGUACAGUAUGCGUCAAUCCGGUAAGUGACAUAUACGGUAUGAAGUUGUAAAUUCGAUAUAUGUCCAUGAAUUUUGGUUUGAAAAUUAUACAAACAUUGAUUAAUGAUGAUAGCCUCGAUUAAUUCCAUGAAAUUAAAUGAGAUGAUUUAUGCAAAAUCAUAGUUGCAUAAGAGUAUAACAAAAUGUGAUUUUGUCCUAAUUAUUUUAAAGUGAAAAUUGCUUGCCCAAUUAUUGGAAUGUGAAAAUAUUUUAUAAAGCACAAAUAGUGUCUAUAGUUGACGGUGGUGUCGGAUAUCCUUGAAAAUAAUGAUUGUAAAAUGACAUUCAUUUGUAAAGGAUAAAAACGAUGCAAAAAAUUGUGAAGAAUAUUAUAAAAUAUUAUAGGAUUAAUUUCAAGAGGUAUUCCAUUUUGUAAGGUUGUGACUUUGAAAGUACAACUUGUCAAUCUAUGAUUGAUUUAUUCUUUCAAAUAUGAAUAUGGAGAAUAAAGUGAGAAUAUGCCUUAUUAUUGGACGUGAAUAACAUUAUUUGUGAAAUGUCAUAAAUGUGAAAGUUGCACAUGUCUGAAGAUGCUUCAAUCGUAGAACCAAUUAAAUUGGUAUAUGUUUUGAAAGCAUUAUUGGUCUAUGUGAUGAUCUUGAUUUAAUUAAUAAGUUGACUAAAUUACAAUUUUGAAUGGAAAAUGCUUACCAUUUGUAUAAGUUGACGACCACUAGAGCAUUCGAUAUGGAUAAAUAUAUUGAACUAUGAAAGAGUCGAUAAACUCUAAAUUCAAGAAUAAACAAAAAAAUGUGGGGGUUAUCAUAAAUAUUGGUGAACUUAUGUGAAAAGUUCAAGACGUGUGAGUGCAAUACUACUACUUGCACAUAUAUCCCUAAUUUAAGAAUUGUGGGGGUAACUGAGUUUAAAAUUACACUUUCUGUACCUCUCAAGAAAAUCGAAGAGACACCAUAUGAGUUAUGGAAAUAUCAUCUUCCUUCCUACCAUCACUUAAAAGUGUCGAGAUGUUUGGAAAAGGUUGAGGUUCUUAAGCCCAAAGAAAUAAAGAUUGGUCCCAAAAUGAUUGAUUGCAUAUUUAUUGGACAUGCCAAUAAUAGUAGUGCAUAUCGUUUCCUCGUACACAAAUCGGAUGUAUAUGAGGGUACCAUAAUUGAGUCAAGGAAUGUGAUAUUCUUUGAGAAUGUGUUUCCUUGCAAAGAUAAGGAAAAUGUAAGUUUGAAUAACAUAACAUAUGAAACUACAAAUGGAUCUUCAAAUGAGGAUAAACCAAGGCGUAGUAAGAGGGCCAGAAUGUCCACUUCGUUUGGUCUGAAUUUUCUCACAUAUAUGAUAAAAAAUGACCCAAAAGACUUAUGAAGAAGCAAUGUUUAUUCCAAGAGCACCGCAUUGGAAGGAAACUAUCAAUAGUGAGAUAGAUUCCAGAAUGCAAAUUCAUACAUGGGAAUUGGUAGAUAUACUUCCCAGAAAUAAGCCUUUAUGGUGUAAACGGAUUAAAACCUGAUGAUCCAUUGACAAAUGUAAGGCUAGAUUGGUUGUCAAAGGAUAUAGGCAGGAAGAUGGAUUUGACUUCUUUUCCUACUCACCUGUGACCAGAAUCACUUUGAUAAUGUUACUAAUUGCAAUUACGGCAAUAUAUAACCUUGAGAUUCACCAAAUGGAUGUGAAAACGGGAUUUCUAAACGGUGAGUUAGAAGAAGAGAUAUAUAUAGAGCAACCUAAAGGUGUCUCCAAGUGAAAGUCACGGAGUUUGUAAACUCGUUGAGUCCUUUUAUGGACUGAAACAAGCUCCUGACACCAAAAGUUUGACAAAACGAUAUUGUCAAAUGAGUUCAAAAUAAAUGAAUGUGACAAGUGUGUAUGCAUGGAAAAUACACCAAAUGCCUAUGUGUUUGUAUGUAGUCAAUAUGUUGAUGAUGGACAAUAGUCAUGAAGUGGUGCUAAACGUCAAGAAAAUGCUUAUGAAGCAUUACAACAUGAAAGACUUGGGUGUGGCAGAUGCAAUACGAGAGAUAAAAAUCUCUAGAACAUCGGAAGAAAUUGUACUUUCCUAAUCUCAUUUGUCGAGAAAAUAUUUAAAAAAUUUGAAGUAUUGACACAAGUCUACACUUGGUCAAAAUAAGGGCGAAAGCGUGUCACAACUGAGAUAUUUACAAGUAAUUAGCAAUCUAAUGUAUAUUACGAAAUGCACUCGACUGGAUAAUGCUUUUGCUGUGAAUAAACUUGAAGAUUCAGGAGUAAUUCAGGUCAUGAUUAUUGGGUGGCAUUGACAGGGGUCCUUAGGUAUUUGAAAUAUACCAUGACCCGUGGAUUACAUUUCACAAUAUAUCCUGCGGUAUUGAAAGGAUAUUGUGAUGCGAUGAUAUACACUAAGUCUAAAGUGGAUGAAAUGGGAUGAAAGCCCUAAAGUGGAUUAAAUGGGAUGAAAGCCGAUCAUGACGGUUGUUUGGAUAUACACGAACAAUUGGAAUAUUUGAGAAUAUUCCUAAAGUUCGAAUGUAUUGCAAUGCUUUAAUGAUGAUAUUGAAUAUCCAUGUAUGAAAUCCACUAAUAAAUAUGAUUGACUAGUGUAACGGUUUGUUAGAAAUCCUCCAUCAUUGUUGUUUGGAAUUGAUAAAGCUUUAGAUAAAACUAAUGAGAAGCAUGUAGUUUCAUGAUAGGAUUUCUUAGUUGGUGACAAUGUGUAUCUAUCAAAUGAAUUGAUCAUUGGCUAGCUAAAUUUGAAAAGAUACUAAGUUACAUAUAAUGAUAAGUCUAGACAUGUAUGUCGUAGACAUAAUACCAUAAGCAGUUGAUCUUAUUGUUGUAAACUUGUGGAUCCAUUUAUAGAUGUUUACUAAAAGAUCAAGUAUAGUGCAUAUCGAAGGGAAUGAGAUUAAGCCUACUGAGUAAGGGUCCUUAUGAUGGUAACCCUACUAUGUUGACUGGAGAUCCCAAGAUCUUGGUUCAAAGGGACAACUAAGUUAUGGGGAUUCUAUGAAGCACUUAGGAAACUAAUUUCCUAACUCAUUCCUAUGAUACCAAAGUGCUUUCUGCAGAGUGAUUGGAUGUUAAGAUAAACUUUUAACGAUUCCUAUAUCUUGAAUAAGUCAAGUGGAGUAUGACAGAAUACUCUUAAUAGGAGAUCACCUAUGUAAGUGUGCAGUGGGGCCGCUUCAAUGAGAAUUAUUCAAGACUUGAAUUCUUUAAACACUUACAGAACCAAGAUGGGUUCAGGGCCAAAAUGAACCAAAUCAUGAGAACCAUGAACGGUUUAUGGAAGACAUUGUGUGAGUACUGUUGUCUUGGUUUAUACUAACGGCAGAUGGUUCAAGAACAUCGCGUUCACCAAUUAGCUAGUAAAUCCGAUGGUAUUUUACUAAAGAAGGUUCAAAGCCAAAAACUACCUUACCUGAUGCAGUGUUUUCCCGCCCUCUCUCUACUAGUGUCUGCAUAGACAUUUGCAUUAAUUUUCAUUCACGUGGGGGAUUGUUGGAAUUUUGUAUGUAAAAUUGGUUUACAUAAUUAUUUAAGUGAAAUUCUUAAUUUGGUGAAUGAGAAAUUAAGCCAAAUAUAAAGUUGCUUAAUACUUGAAAUUAUUGAAAAAUCGUAUAGAAUAUUGUGAAAUAUUCUAGAAAUAUGUGGGUGAAAAGUGUGUCUUUUCAUGUGAAAAAUCAUGACUCUUGGUAUGGGUAUGAUUAAUUUCCAAUAAUCGUGUCUCUUGAUGUAUAGAAAUAUAUUUCAAGAGAUGUGACUCUUGAUAUGAUUGUGUCUUUUGACAUACAUUUCCAACUACUAUAAAUAGACUCCAUAUGUUUGAAUUUUAUCAUUCAAGAAAAGUCAUAGAUACUACAUCAUUCCAUUUCAAUUUACAAUUUGGUUUUGCAUAAAAUAUUUGCCUCGAAGUCAUGGUGAUGGUCAUGGUCAUGGUAGAGAGGGAAUUUCGUUCGAGUUCGCUGGUCGAAGUCAUUUGAAGUGCUCCUAUGACUCGACGUGGUUAUUGUAUCUUGGGAGAUGAUUACUGGAUAACCGUUACCACCGAUGCGGGGCAAAUUCAUCUUAAGGACAAAGUGUCCAACACUUGCCUCGGCCAAAAAUCCGUCAUUUGCAUCUUCUUUCUUCAUUUUCUGAUUCCUUUUAUUAUAAUUUGAUUUCAGAAAAUGAUUAACGUUAUUUAUAUGUUUAUCCUACAAGGUUUGAUCCAAAGAAUUACUUGCUUUCGAUCAUGAGUUGAAAGGGAAGAAUCCAUAUUCAGGUAUUCGGAUUUG